CCACAGCCUUCCCCGCCUCGCUCGCGCAGCGGGACGCCCUCCGCGCCGCCGUCUCCCUAGUCGAAGUAGGGUUGGGCGCUGCCGCCGUCUUCCUGGUCGAAGUAGGGUUGUGCAUCGCCGCCGUCCUCCUGGUCGAAGCAGGGUUGGGUGCCGUCGUCGUCCUCUUGGUCGACGGCGCCCUCGUCUUCGCCGUCCGCACCCAUCCCCGCCUUUCUAUUUCUGCAAGGGAGGUUGACUUCUUCCCUUUCUCUCGUGCAGAUCGCCGUCCUCUGGUUCGGUUGUGCCCCAGCUGCGCGUGUAGGACACGGGAGAUGAGCAUGUUGGCAGCGUCAUGAUCAGCAAGUGCGAAUGACUUAUUCUUCAGUAGCACAUGUUUCCGUUGAGAGCCUUUGUAUAGCCUACUUCAAUCUUGCAUCCAAGUAACGAGGUGAAAAAAUUGUUUUCCGGGUUCAUGGGGCUAGGUUGAUGAGCUCAGAGAAAGAUGUUGUGAUUAAAGUCCUAAAGCCAAGAACUGCAGAUACUUUGGUCAACGAUAUAUGUAAUUGACUCUGGGAGGAGUUCGGACCAUGGGAGACGGCUUCACCUCCAGCCCAUCAGUGUUUCAGUAAGCAAUGGUUGCGCUGGAGGAGAAGGGUGGUAGCGGCGCCGUGAGGCUGGAGGUGCCGACAGGGAGGUGGCUCACGGGGAGCUUCAAUCUAACAAGCCACUUUGUGUUCUUCCUGCACCAUGGCUGGGUCAUCCUCGCCUCUGAGGUUGCAAAUUGGGAAAGUGGCCUCAACACUUGUAAUGCUGACACUUGUCAAUGACCAAUGAAAAAAGAAACGGGAGAGAUGUUGUAGUUUCAAAUCAUGCACACGCAUGCUUGGGGAGCAACUGCCAGAACUCGGAAGCUAAUGAUAUUGCAACUGUAGAGAUACUCAUAGAAAUAUUGCAUAGACAUGGGAACGAGUUCCAUAUGGAAGGUGCAAUAUUGAAGCUGCUUGCAUUGAUCUACAAUCCAUCUUGACUUCGGCUAGAAGGAACAACUACUUCUGAAUUUUGGGGUGGCAGAAGUAAGGGCGAGUUGAAUUGUGCAACCGCGGGGAAUGCAUGCACAUGGAAGGGUGGACGUCACGGUUACCCUCGCAGGGACGACUAUGCCAACAACUGUUUGCGCAUUAACUAAUUAAUAGCACAGGUGAGGAUGAUAUAUUUUUUUCUUUAUCAGUAGUCAUAUUUGUUCAGAUUAAGAUCCACAUGUAAACAUUCCCACACGUUGUGUCAUAUAGAACUAGCCUAAAGGGAUUAUGAUUGAUCUUCUAAGCUAGGUGGUAUUAAAAAAGUGUUUCUCACCAAGGAAGGUAAUUAUAAUAAGCAUCAAGGACAUCACGAGUUUUUUUAAGAUGACCGAAAUAUAGUCAAAAGAUCAUGAUCUCACUAAACACAAUGGUCCUGGCUUAUAUAUUAUUUUUUAUGUUCUACUCAACUAGCAGGCAGUAGGUGACUUUGGAUUUCAUCAUGUUGUAGGCAAAUCUUGCUUUAUCUAAUGUAAGAAGAGGGUCAAAGUUUGUUCAACUAUGCGCACUUUUUUUUAACUAAGUAGUAAUACAUACAACAAAGGUUGCCAUCCACGAGCAUUGCCUCGAGUUGCUUGAUGUAUGUGGAGCAUUUGUUUGUAACAUAAUCCAAGGUACGUAUCUGAUGAAGGGGAAAUUGUAUGUACACGUUUUAUGUACCGGUAUAUAUGUGUUGUCUCAAACUAUAAAACAUGAUCAAUGAUAAUUUUUUCAUUAACAUUAAUGAAGUUGACAAACCAAAGAGAUCAUGCCCCAUUGAUAGAGGUGAGUGGAGUGGAGGUAUGUGGUGCACUUAGAGGGUGAAAUACAGGCUGAAAGUACAUCCAGGCAUGAGCUGAUUUGUAGCAAACAUACAGACUCUGUUGUUUUACACCGAGGGGAGAUACUCUUUGAUACUCUGCUUUGUGGCAAAGGGACAUAUCGUGUUA